rnacentral:tRNA from 2 species
GCAAGCGUAGUUUAAUGGUAGAACCUUAGCCUUCCAAGCUAAUGACGAGGGUUCGAUUCCCUUCGCUUGCUCCA